rnacentral:rRNA from 1 species
AUUGAACGCUGGCGGCAGGCUUAACACAUGCAAGUAGAGCGAUCGGAGGACGGGUGAGAAAUGUCUGGGAAACUGCAUGAUGGAGGGGGAUAACUACUGGAAACGGUAGCUACUACCGCAUACCAUCAGAUGUGCCCAGAUGGGAUUAGCUAUUAGGUGGGGUAAUGGCUCACCUAGGCGACGAUCCCUAGCUGGUCUGAGAGGAUGACCAGCCACACUGGAACUGAGACACGGUCCAGACUCCUACGGGAGGCAGAAGUGGGGAAUAUUGGACAAUGGGCGCAAGCCUGAUGCAGCCAGGCCGCGUGUGUGAAGAAGGCCUUCGGGUUGUAAAGCACUUUCAGCGAGGAGGCGUUACUCGCAGAAGAAGCACCGGCUAACUCCGUGCCAGCAGCCGCGGUAAUUC